AUUGAACGCUGGCGGCAGGUCUAACACAUGCAAGUCGAGCGGAUGAAGGGAGCUUGCUCCUGGAUUCAGCGGCGGACGGGUGAGUAAUGCCUAGGAAUCUGCCUGGUAGUGGGGGAUAACGUCCGGAAACGGGCGCUAAUACCGCAUACGUCCUGAGGGAGAAAGUGGGGGAUCUUCGGACAUCACGCUAUCAGAUGAGCCUAGGUCGGAUUAGCUAGUUGGUGGGGUAAAGGCCUACCAAGGCGACGAUCCGUAACUGGUCUGAGAGGAUGAUCAGUCACACUGGAACUGAGACACGGUCCAGACUCCUACGGGAGGCAGCAGUGGGGAAUAUUGGACAAUGGGCGAAAGCCUGAUCCAGCCAUGCCGCGUGUGUGAAGAAGGUCUUCGGAUUGUAAAGCACUUUAAGUUGGGAGGAAGGGCAGUAAGUUAAUACCUUGCUGUUUUGACGUUACCAACAGAAUAAGCACCGGCUAACUUCGUG
rnacentral:rRNA from 1 species